UACGUAGGGACCAAGCGUUGUUCGGAUUUACUGGGCGUAAAGGGCGCGUAGGCGGCUUGGUCAGUCCCGUGUGAAAUCCCUCGGCUCAACUGAGGAACUGCACGGGAAACUGCCUGGCUUGAGUUCGGGAGAGGGAAGCGGAAUUCCGGGUGUAGCGGUGAAAUGCGUAGAUAUCCGGAGGAACACCGGUGGCGAAGGCGGCUUCCUGGACCGACACUGACGCUGAGGCGCGAAAGCUAGGGGAGCAAACGGG
rnacentral:rRNA from 1 species